GCGGCGUGCUAUACAUGCAAGUCGAACGAACUCUGGUAUUGAUUGGUGCUUGCAUCAUGAUUUACAUUUGAGUGAGUGGCGAACUGGUGAGUAACACGUGGGAAACCUGCCCAGAAGCGGGGGAUAACACCUGGAAACAGAUGCUAAUACCGCAUAACAACUUGGACCGCAUGGUCCGAGUUUGAAAGAUGGCUUCGGCUAUCACUUUUGGAUGGUCCCGCGGCGUAUUAGCUAGAUGGUGGGGUAACGGCUCACCAUGGCAAUGAUACGUAGCCGACCUGAGAGGGUAAUCGGCCACAUUGGGACUGAGACACGGCCCAAACUCCUACGGGAGGCAGCAGUAGGGAAUCUUCCACAAUGGACGAAAGUCUGAUGGAGCAACGCCGCGUGAGUGAAGAAGGGUUUCGGCUCGUAAAACUCUGUUGUUAAAGAAGAACAUAUCUGAGAGUAACUGUUCAGGUAUUGACGGUAUUUAACCAGAAAGCCACGGCUAACUACGUGCCAGCAGCCGCGGUAAUACGUAGGUGGCAAGCGUUGUCCGGAUUUAUUGGGCGUAAAGCGAGCGCAGGCGGUUUUUUAAGUCUGAUGUGAAAGCCUUCGGCUCAACCGAAGAAGUGCAUCGGAAACUGGGAAACUUGAGUGCAGAAGAGGACAGUGGAACUCCAUGUGUAGCGGUGAAAUGCGUAGAUAUAUGGAAGAACACCAGUGGCGAAGGCGGCUGUCUGGUCUGUAACUGACGCUGAGGCUCGAAAGUAUGGGUAGCAAACAGGAUUAGAUACCCUGGUAGUCCAUACCGUAAACGAUGAAUGCUAAGUGUUGGAGGGUUUCCGCCCUUCAGUGCUGCAGCUAACGCAUUAAGCAUUCCGCCUGGGGAGUACGGCCGCAAGGCUGAAACUCAAAGGAAUUGACGGGGGCCCGCACAAGCGGUGGAGCAUGUGGUUUAAUUCGAAGCUACGCGAAGAACCUUACCAGGUCUUGACAUACUAUGCAAAUCUAAGAGAUUAGACGUUCCCUUCGGGGACAUGGAUACAGGUGGUGCAUGGUUGUCGUCAGCUCGUGUCGUGAGAUGUUGGGUUAAGUCCCGCAACGAGCGCAACCCUUAUUAUCAGUUGCCAGCAUUAAGUUGGGCACUCUGGUGAGACUGCCGGUGACAAACCGGAGGAAGGUGGGGAUGACGUCAAAUCAUCAUGCCCCUUAUGACCUGGGCUACACACGUGCUACAAUGGAUGGUACAACGAGUUGCGAACUCGCGAGAGUAAGCUAAUCUCUUAAAGCCAUUCUCAGUUCGGAUUGUAGGCUGCAACUCGCCUACAUGAAGUCGGAAUCGCUAGUAAUCGCGGAUCAGCAUGCCGCGGUGAAUACGUUCCCGGGCCUUGUACACACCGCCCGUCACACCAUGAGAGUUUGUAACACCCAAAGUCGGUGGGGUAACCUUUUAGGAACCAGCCGCCUAAGGUGGGACAGAUGAUUAGGGUGAAGUCGUAACAAGUUAACCCGUAA
rnacentral:rRNA from 2 species